GACGAACGCUGGCGGCGUGCUUAACACAUGCAAGUCGAACGGAAAGGCCCUGCUUUUGUGGGGUGCUCGAGUGGCGAACGGGUGAGUAACACGUGAGUAACCUGCCCUUGACUUUGGGAUAACUUCAGGAAACUGGGGCUAAUACCGGAUAGGAGCUCCUGCUGCAUGGUGGGGGUUGGAAAGUUUCGGCGGUUGGGGAUGGACUCGCGGCUUAUCAGCUUGUUGGUGGGGUAGUGGCUUACCAAGGCUUUGACGGGUAGCCGGCCUGAGAGGGUGACCGGCCACAUUGGGACUGAGAUACGGCCCAGACUCCUACGGGAGGCAGCAGUGGGGAAUAUUGCACAAUGGGCGGAAGCCUGAUGCAGCAACGCCGCGUGCGGGAUGACGGCCUUCGGGUUGUAAACCGCUUUCGCCUGUGACGAAGCGUGAGUGACGGUAAUGGGUAAAGAAGCACCGGCUAACUACGUGCCAGCAGCCGCGGUGAUACGUAGGGUGCGAGCGUUGUCCGGAUUUAUUGGGCGUAAAGGGCUCGUAGGUGGUUGAUCGCGUCGGAAGUGUAAUCUUGGGGCUUAACCCUGAGCGUGCUUUCGAUACGGGUUGACUUGAGGAAGGUAGGGGAGAAUGGAAUUCCUGGUGGAGCGGUGGAAUGCGCAGAUAUCAGGAGAAACACCAGUGGCGAAGGCGGUUCUCUGGGCCUUUCCUGACGCUGAGGAGCGAAAGCGUGGGGAGCGAACAGGCUUAGAUACCCUGGUAGUCCACGCUGUAAACGGUGGGUACUAGGUGUGGGGUCCAUUCCACGGGUUCCGUGCCGUAGCUAACGCUUUAAGUACCCCGCCUGGGGAGUACGGCCGCAAGGCUAAAACUCAAAGGAAUUGACGGGGCCCCGCACAAGCGGCGGAGCAUGCGGAUUAAUUCGAUGCAACGCGUAGAACCUUACCUGGGUUUGACAUGGAUCGGGAGUGCUCAGAGAUGGGUGUGCCUCUUUUGGGGUCGGUUCACAGGUGGUGCAUGGCUGUCGUCAGCUCGUGUCGUGAGAUGUUGGGUUAAGUCCCGCAACGAGCGCAACCCUUGUUCACUGUUGCCAGCACGUUAUGGUGGGGACUCAGUGGAGACCGCCGGGGUCAACUCGGAGGAAGGUGGGGAUGACGUCAAGUCAUCAUGCCCCUUAUGUCCAGGGCUUCACGCAUGCUACAAUGGCUGGUACAGAGAGUGGCGAGCCUGUGAGGGUGAGCGAAUCUCGGAAAGCCGGUCUCGGUUCGGAUUGGGGUCUGCAACUCGACCUCAUGAAGUCGGAGUCGCUAGUAAUCGCAGAUCAGCAACGCUGCGGUGAAUACGUUCCCGGGGCU
rnacentral:rRNA from 1 species